CCUACGGGAGGCAGCAGUGAGGAAUAUUGGUCAAUGGACGAGAGUCUGAACCAGCCAAGUAGCGUGAAGGAUGACUGCCCUAUGGGUUGUAAACUUCUUUUAUAUGGGAAUAAAAUGUUCCACGUGUGGGAUUUUGUAUGUACCAUAUGAAUAAGGAUCCGCGAACUCUGUGCCAGCAGCCGCGGUAAUACGGAGGAUCCGAGCGUUAUCCGGAUUUAUUGGGUUUAAAGGGAGCGUAGGUGGGUUGUUAAGUCAGUUGUGAAAGGUUGCGGCUCAACCGUAGAAUUGCAGUUGAAACUGGCGGUCUUGAGUACAGUAGAGGUGGGCGGAAUUCGUGGUGUAGCGGUGAAAUGCUUAGAUAUCACGAAGAACUCCGAUUGCGAAGGCAGCUCACUGGAGUGCAACUGACGCUGAGGCUCGAAAGUGUGGGUAUCAAACAGGAUUAGAUACCCUAGUAGUC
rnacentral:rRNA from 1 species